AUCGCUUCUCGACCUUUUGGCUAAGAUCAAAUGCAGUAUUUGUUCUUAUCAGUUGCCAAAGGAUGAGCUGAAGCACCUCCCAAAUGGGGAGGGUGGAUGCAUAUCCAAUGGCGUAAUUGUGUAACGCCACUGGCGCGUUAUUCUAUACAAGAUGAGCGCAGCCUUACCUCUCUCCCUCGGCUGCGCUCCUCUCUC